CACUUGCGUGGCCCUGCCUGGAGAGCACUCAACCACAGGCUGGACAGCCAGCUUCAUGGGGACCCCUGGUGCCCCACAUGGUGCCCCCUACCCAGCAGGAGUUCAAUCAAUAGAUGAGGCAAAUGGAGGCUCUGACACAUUAAGUGACAGGCGGAGAAGUGAGAACCCAGG
rnacentral:lncRNA from 1 species